AGAGGAGCUUGCUCUUCUUGGAUGAGUUGCGAACGGGUGAGUAACGCGUAAGUAACCUGCCUUGUAGCGGGGGAUAACUAUUGGAAACGAUAGCUAAUACCGCAUAACAAUGGAUGACACAUGUCAUUUAUUUGAAAGGGGCAAUUGCUCCACUACAAGAUGGACCUGCGUUGUAUUAGCUAGUAGGUGAGGUAACGGCUCACCUAGGCGACGAUACAUAGCCGACCUGAGAGGGUGAUCGGCCACACUGGGACUGAGACACGGCCCAGACUCCUACGGGAGGCAGCAGUAGGGAAUCUUCGGCAAUGGGGGCAACCCUGACCGAGCAACGCCGCGUGAGUGAAGAAGGUUUUCGGAUCGUAAAGCUCUGUUGUAAGUCAAGAACGAGUGUGAGAGUGGAAAGUUCACACUGUGACGGUAGCUUACCAGAAAGGGACGGCUAACUACGUGCCAGCAGCCGCGGUAAUACGUAGGUCCCGAGCGUUGUCCGGAUUUAUUGGGCGUAAAGCGAGCGCAGGCGGUUUGAUAAGUCUGAAGUUAAAGGCUGUGGCUCAACCAUAGUUCGCUUUGGAAACUGUCAAACUUGAGUGCAGAAGGGGAGAGUGGAAUUCCAUGUGUAGCGGUGAAAUGCGUAGAUAUAUGGAGGAACACCGGUGGCGAAAGCGGCUCUCU
rnacentral:rRNA from 1 species